rnacentral:rRNA from 1 species
GAUGAACGCUGGCGGCGUGCCUAAUACAUGCAAGUCGAGCGAACAGACGAGGAGCUUGCUCCUCUGACGUUAGCGGCGGACGGGUGAUUAACACGUGGAUAACCUACCUAUAAGACUGGGAUAACUUCGGGAAACCGGAGCUAAUACCGGAUAAUAUAUUGAACCGCAUGGUUCAAUAGUGAAAGUCGGUUUUGCUGUCACUUAUAGAUGGAUCCGCGCCGCAUUAGCUAGUUGGUAAGGUAACGGCUUACCAAGGCAACGAUGCGUAGCCGACCUGAGAGGGUGAUCGACAACACUGCAACGAAGACACGGACCAGCCUCGUACGGGAGGCAGGGGUAGGAAAUCUACGGCAAGGGGCGAAGGCGUAAAGGAGAAACGCGGCGUGAGUGAUAAAGGUCUACGGAGCGUAAAACUCUGUUAUUAGGGAAGAACAAAUGUGUAAGUAACUAUGCGCGUAUGAACGGACCCGAAUAAGAAGGCCCCGGUAACCUACGU